rnacentral:rRNA from 1 species
GAUGAACGCUGGCGGCGUGCCUAAUACAUGCAAGUCGAGCGAACAGAUAAGGAGCUUGCUCCUUUGACGUUAGCGGCGGACGGGUGAGUAACACGUGGGUAACCUACCUAUAAGACUGGGAUAACUUCGGGAAACCGGAGCUAAUACCGGAUAAUAUUUCGAACCGCAUGGUUCGAUAGUGAAAGAUGGUUUUGCUAUCACUUAUAGAUGGACCCGCGCCGUAUUAGCUAGUUGGUAAGGUAACGGCUUACCAAGGCGACGAUACGUAGACGACCUGAGAGGGUGAUAGGCCACACGGGAACUGAGACACGGUCCAGACUCCUACGGGAGGCAGCAGUAGGGAAUCUUCCGCAAUGGGCGAAAGCCUGACGGAGCAACGCCGCGUGAGUGAUGAAGGUCUUCGGAUCGUAAAACUCUGUUAUUAGGGAAGAACAGACGUGUAAGUAACUGUGCACGUCGUGACGGUACCUAAUCAGAAAGCCACGGCUAACUACGUG